rnacentral:lncRNA from 1 species
GUAAUGAUUCAAAUAGAAUUGUGGAUGAAAAUUAGCAGUUUAUAUUUUUGUAGAUUCGUAACAACAAUUAUAUUGCGGAAUUGUAUUUAGACAACAUACCCACUCAUUUGUGCAUGUAAUAUCAUGUUCGAGAGUGCAGAGAUAAUGAUUAGAUUUUUUAAUAAAUAUAGAUUUUCAUAUUAUAUGACGAGUCUAAUUGAAAAAUGCCUCAGUUUUAUUACUUGGCUUGCCUAGUGUUUAAUUAUACUACGGGAAAUGGACUUGCACCACUUUCAUAAUAAAUGAUUAUGCUGUUUGGUUUACCAACAGAUUUUCGAUUGAUCAAAGCAUAUGGAAAUUUUAAUAUAUACACUGUAAAAUGUCUACAAAUAAAAGUUCACACUAAAUUAUACCUAAAUUAUUGUUUUCUCAAUUUUUUCCAAAAAUGGACUUACACCACUUUCAAAAUAAACAGUCCAAAUAUUGCUGAUUUCAAAUGGCAUUUGCACAGAUUGC